rnacentral:rRNA from 1 species
UGGUGGGCUGGUUCUAUUCCAGGGCUACGCCUGUCUGA